rnacentral:rRNA from 1 species
UGGGGAAUAUUGCACAAUGGGCGAAAGCCUGAUGCAGCGACGCCGCGUGAGGGAUGACGGCCUUCGGGUUGUAAACCUCUUUCAGCAGGGAAGAAGCGAAAGUGACGGUACCUGCAGAGGAAGCGCCGGCUAACUACGUGCCAGCAGCCGCGGUAAUACGUAGGGCGCAAGCGUUGUCCGGAAUUAUUGGGCGUAAAGAGCUCGUAGGCGGUUAGUCGCGUCUGCUGUGAAAACUCGAGGCUCAACCUCGGGCUUGCAGUGGGUACGGGCUGACUAGAGUGCGGUAGGGGUGACUGGAAUUCCUGGUGUAGCGGUGGAAUGCGCAGAUAUCAGGAGGAACACCGAUGGCGAAGGCAGGUCACUGGGCCGCAACUGACGCUGAGGAGCGAAAGCAUGGGGAGCGAACAGGAUUAGAUACCCUGGUAGUCCAUGCCGUAAACGUUGGGCACUAGGUGUGGGUCCAUUCCACGGAUUCCGUGCCGCAGCAAACGCAUUAAGUGCCCCGCCUGGGGAGUACGGCCGCAAGGCUAAAACUCAAAUGAAUUG